CGAUUACGGCUCAGUAACACGUAGUCAACCUAACCUAUGGACGGGAAUAACCUCGGGAAACUGAGAAUAAUGCCCGAUAGAACACUAUACCUGGAAUGGUUUGUGUUCCAAAUGAUUUAUCGCCGUAGGAUGGGACUGCGGCUAUCAGUUUGUUGGUGAGGUAAUGGCCCACCAAGACUAUUACAGGUACGGGCUCUGAGAGGAGUAGCCCGGAGAUGGGUACUGAGACACGGACCCAGGCCCUAUGGGGCGCAGCAGGCGAGAAAACUUUGCAAUGUGCGAAAGCACGACAAGGUUAAUCCGAGUGAUUUGUGCUAAACGAAUCUUUUGUUAGUCCUAGAACCACUAACGAAUAAGGGGUGGGCAAGUUCUGGUGUCAGCCGCCGCGGUAAAACCAGCACCUCAAGUGGUCAGGAUGAUUAUUGGGCCUAAAGCAUCCGUAGCCGGCUCUGUAAGUUUUCGGUUAAAUCUGUACGCUUAACGUACAGGCUGCCGGGAAUACUGCAGAGCUAGGGAGUGGGAGAGGUAGACGGUACUCGGUAGGAACGGGGUAAAAUCCUUUGAUCUAUUGAUGACCACCUGUGGCGAAGGCGG
rnacentral:rRNA from 1 species